AUUAUUUGCAUACUUCUGAGACAAGAUAUUUUGUCUCUGUACUAAAUUAUAAACUUGGUACCAAAUAUCAAUAAAAAUCACUGAGCGAUAUAUGUUACCCUCGUAUUAAGUUUAUAAAAAAAUUACUACAACUAAACAAAAGAUUUAAAUACUAAACCACAAUAUAAAGAUAAUAUCUAUAAAUGUUCCUCGGCUUCAUUGGAUGCCAGCUUAAGCCGCGUUUACAAAGUACAAGAAAUAAUAAUAAUAAUAA